GGGAAGUCGAGUGUUCUGUGAGCAAUAGUCGCAGCCCACUUGCGGCUUCUCGCUGUUGGCCUUCUCCUUCCUGGUUCUGCUGUAGGGUUUUGCAUUAGCUUCCGGACUUUGAAGAGAAACUAAAGCAGUGAAACUACAGGGACUGAGGCUAGAGUUGAGAAAACAGGUCAGAAAGAUAAAAUGAUGGGCCCAAGCUAGAAGUGCAAGUAUCCUGAUGUUCAGGUGUUCUCCGAUGUUACCCAGCCUCAUUUGCAGUUAGGUUGGGCCAUGUGACUUGUUCUCACCAAUGAUCUAUGGGCAGAAGUGGUGUGUGUCUCUUCUGGACCAAGACAAUUAAGAACCAGUGUGCCUUUUCUAUCGCUCCCUUCCCCUCAGUGGAGGCCAGGCAUUCCAGAUGGCAGAGCUACAAGCUUCAGGAGGGCCACCUGACUCACACUGGACUGCGAUGGUAGUGAAAAAAAACCCCAAAAGCCAACUUUAUUGUGACAAGCCAUUGAAAU